GUCCUAGCUGUAAACGGUGCGCACUUGCUGUAAGAGGAUUCGAACCCUUUUGUGGCGAAGUUAACACGUUAAGUGCGCCGCCUGGGGAGUACGGUCGCAAGACUAAAACUCAAAGAAAUUGACGGGGCCUGCACAAGCGGUGGAGUAUGUGGCUUAAUUCGAUGCAACGCGAAGAACCUUACCUAGCCUUGACAUGUAUGUAGUAGAAGCCUGAAAGGGUAACGAGGUAGCAAUACCAGCAUACACAGGUGCUGCAUGGCUGUCGU
rnacentral:rRNA from 1 species